CAAAGAUUCUGGCUCCAUUCAGGGCCCCGGGGAAAUUCACGAAGAGGCAGAGGCCGAAGAUGUCUUCAUGUAUCCCAACAAUUGACGUUUAACCUCUCUGUGCCUGCGCUCUGACUCUUACCGACUCUGCAAGACGUGGAAUUAAAAUCUGGCGAUCUGGAUGGAUAUGCUGGCACUUGCCUUUAAUUUGGGCACUGCAGAGGCCGAGGCAGGAGGAUCCCGUUGAAUUGGAGGGCAGUCUAGACUUCAAAGCAAGUUCACGUUCUAGCUGGGUUUGGGGAGACCCUGUUUUGUAUGGGUGCUGGUGUUUUUGGAGCAGGGUGUUUGUUUUAAAUGAGCUCAUCUGCUUCUCAGGGCUGUUAACCUGCCCUCCUAGUGGGGACUGGGCUGGUGGCAUGGAGCCUGGUAAACACAGGGGACAAGGCCACAGUCAGAACUGCUAGCUCUGCUCCCUCUGCUGCCAGACACAAUCUUGUCCCCACCCCUGCCCCACACCCCCGACCUCCCCUCCCUGGCCCACUUUCCCUCCCGCCUCUGGCUGCCAUUGUUAUUUCUUGCCUUUCCUUUCUCCUGUUCCUGUCUCCUCUCCUCUGUCUGCUGGUGAUCUUUCCAAGUGGUGCUUCUGGGCUACUUGAUCAUCAACUCACAGAGCACCUACUGUACCCCAGCACUGCCGGGAAACAGAACCUGAGCAGAGAACUGGCAGAGCCCAAAACUGAAGAGGCAGACAUGAUGGUCUGAGCGAGAAUGGCUCUCGUCAGCUCAUCUAUCUAAAUACUUGGUCGCUAUUUGGAGGAGCUGUUUAUGAAGGAUUGUGAGGUGCGGCCUUGUUGGAGAUCUGUCACAUGGGCAGGCUUUGAGCUUUCAAAGCCUCCUGCCAUUCCCAGUUCCCUCUUUGCCUCCUGCUUGUGGAUCAUGAGGUGAGCGCUCAGAUGGCCCUGCUGCUAUGCCUUUCUGCCACCACCAUAGACUCUAACCCUCUAAAACCAUAAGACAUACUAAAUUCUUUCUUUCAUAAGUUGUCUUGGUCAUGGUCUUUUGUCACAGCAUUAGAAAAGUAGCUAAGAUAGUAGAUGUGGUCAUUUCAGGGGGUGGCAGGUGUGGUAAAGAAGACAAACUACAGAAAUGAGACACGUCAUAGUUUGAUCAAGGAAAGGGAGAUAUAUUAUAGACAUUUGACUAAAGUAUUAGGAUUGACAUGGCUAUGUGAAGAUUGGGCAAAACAGAAAGCAAAAAACAAAAAACAAAAACAAAUGAAACAAACAAGCAAACAACAACAACGACAACAAAAAUAAAUGGUCCUGAGACAGCAGAGAGCUGGUGAGUCCAAGACAGGAAGAGGCUGGAACUCAGCUUGGAGGUUCCUGUGGGAUGACAAAGUAGAAAACCCUGGCCAAGGGAGUCACAACUAAAAUCCCACGAUUCAUGCAGUACAGGCCAGAGGAUGAGGAGUUUAAGAUUAUCCUUGGCUACACUGAAAUUUGGAGACCAGCCUGGACUACGUAAGACCCUGUGUUAAAACAGUAGCAAAAGCAACCAAACAAAACCAACAGCAACAGAAUAAAAUGUGCACUCUGGAGGCAGAAGUGAAGUGAUUCUGGCUGAGGGAAGACUCGGGGAGCUCCUAAGGAGGUGGAAGUGAGAUUGUGCACAUCUCAGGAAACAUCCUGUGUGUGAGAAGAGGCAAACAGAGCAUAGGAGGAACAUUGGGUCCUUGCAGGGGACCAGAGGCAAUGCCCCUCAGACCAUCAGUAUGGCACAAGGGGAAGGAGAUAGAGGAAGCUUCUGGUAAUGAUAGCAGGCAAUCAAACACACCAAGAAAGGAGAUUUCCUCCCUCUCUUCCCCUCUCUUCCCCUCUCCUCCCUCUUUCUGGCAUCCUGGUUCCUCACUCGUCCCAUUGCUUCUCAAUGGAAUAGUGCCAUUAACUAGGAGUAGUAGGUCUAGGAGAAAAUCAAGAGUUGCACUUGGCCAAAGCCAUGACAAAACAUUAAGAUAUAUUUCUGGAAACAAGAACAGACGCUUCCUCUAGAGAAAGGAUUCAUUGCUAGUGUUAAUGAAGCCCUACUCCUAGAGCAUGGCCAAGUCAACAACAGCCAGAUUUCACACCGUCUGGCCCUCUUGGCUGCUUGCUUUGGUGCAGUGCACAAGUCAGGCAAUGGCAGACAGUGAACCUGCCCUUGACCACAAUGAUUCUUGUUAGGAGGCCCCAAGUGAACACCCAGAGAGAGCUAAAUAUGUCAUUCUAAACUCCAGGAAGAUAGCAAGGGUAGAAAUAAAUCAGAAGCCAUGAUAACAUAGAGUGUUUCAGAUUAGCUAGCUGCCCUGAGACAUUCAGAUCAAAGUGCAAAAGACACAGGAAUGAAGCCUGGGACCUCUCAGGCUUAGCAAUAAGAAGAGGAACGAAAACAUCAGAAAGGCCUUCAAGGAGCUAUUGGAAGUAUGAGAGGUGACCGCACGGUGGAAGAACCCAGUCUCAAGGCAUAAGUUCUACUUCAUGGAGUGGAGAUGAACCGUAGAAAGCAGCCAGGAGUCUGAGUCCUGCCAAGGCAUAUAUCUUCUGGGGAACCAGCCUUUGAGCUGGCACUUAUGAAAUUCCCAUUUUGAGGAAAGAUAUGGAUGAGGUUGACCCAUUGCCCACACCUUCCAGAGCAUCCUCAAAGCUGGUGCCAUAUAUGGAUUCAAUUUCAACUGCAAGAAGAGCCCUGGCUGCCACACCAACUCUUGUGGUGAAACUGUCCAGCACAACCUCCAUGAGUGGCGUCAUCCCAGCAGGAACAACUCCAUGACAAGUGAUGUGUCUGUGUGGUAGUUUUCCCCUGGAGUCCACUUCUGAAGAGAAGCAGUUUCAAGAGGCAGACAAAGGAGGGAGAUGAAAAUCAGCAGGGCCCAGCAGGAGUUAGCUGGAUGGCCUCAGAAUACCUGAAGCUAGGUGAUGGAUAAAGAAAAAAGGUUCAGUUGACUUGCGGUGCUGGUGGCUGGCUGCUCUGCAGUCCAGGGAGAGGUGGCUCAAGCAAAGGUGACUCUGGGGACAUUGUCAUUGUCGAUUGUUUGAAGAGGCUCGGGUCUUGAAUGUGAAAUGAUGCUUAAAAGAGACUUUGACAACCAUCCUAGGAGAAAGGCGAAGACGCUAACAGUUGUGAAAUGGACACUUGCUGAGGAAACACGAGAACGUCUGCAUUUCCAUAAACUUGAGAAAACUCCUGAGUAUUUGGAGGCAUGCAGGGGUGAAGAAGAAAUGCCAAGUGCUUACAAGACUGAUUUUCCUGAGAAAGUGACUCAUUUUCCCUGUGUAUAUUUCUAUGUCGCCAUGGUUCUGGCAGGCAUAUGCUGCAAGGAAUCUUCCAAGAUGGUCAGAGGCAUCAGCAGAUUAUGCUAAUGCUGACGGCUCUGUUUCCAGCCUCCACCGAUGAGUGCCUCUGCCUUCCUUGGCUCAUAUCAACACAUUGAAAUGAAGCUUACAGAAUGUGGCGCCAUUGAAGAAGCCACACUCAGGUCCCGUCCUCAGGGACUCAUGUUGUUCCACCAAUGCAAGUGCUGUCACACAAUGGAAAGAAUGGAUUAAAUGUUUUUUCUAAAGGAGAAAAUAAGAACAAUGGUAAUAAUGAUUAUUCCAAAUAAAAAAUAAAAAAUAUAAAAUA